rnacentral:rRNA from 1 species
UACGUAGGGCGCAAGCGUUGUCCGGAAUUAUUGGGCGUAAAGAGCUCGUAGGCGGUUUGUCGCGUCUGCUGUGAAAUCCCCAGGCUCAACUUGGGGCGUGCAAUCGAUACGGGCAGACUAGAGUACUGCAGGGGAGACUGGAAUUCCUGGUGUAGCGGUGAAAUGCGUAGAUAUCAGGAGGAACACCUGUGGCGAAAAGCGGCUCACUGGACCAUAACUGACGCUGAUGCACGAAAGCUAGGGGAGCAAACAGG